rnacentral:misc_RNA from 1 species
GGAAGUAAGAGUCGUAACAAGGUUUCCGUAGGUGAACCUGCGGAAGGAUCAUUAUUGUAUAACCGAGGUGCGAGGGCUGUCGCUGACCCGAAAGGUCGUGCACGCCCGAGUGCCCUCACACACAUCCAUCUCACCCCUAUGUGCACCACCGCGUGGGUCCCCCUUUGGCUUGUUCGGAGGGGGGCUUACGUUUUCACACAAACUUUGUAUGCAGUGUAGAAUGUAUUUUUUGUUUUUGCGAUCACGCAAUCAAUACAACUUUCAACAACGGACCUCUUGGCUCUC